CAAUGCACAUCAAUAUGUCAUACAAAUUCAUACGAAAUCAUAUUUCAAUACUUUUCACAUUUAUUCGACCUGUUCAACAUGUCCUCAAUAAUCACAUACUUUCAGUAAAAGGAAGUAGUAUUCCAAUUUCAAAUUACCAUUAAGACGGUAUCUAUCAAUAUCGCUCAAUUCACAUACUUUACAAAUUUCAUUGUGCACCAAUAGCAA
rnacentral:lncRNA from 1 species